CAGCCGCCGCGGUAAUACGUAGGGUGCAAGCGUUAAUCGGAAUUACUGGGCGUAAAGCGUGCGCAGGCGGUUUGUUAAGACAGAUGUGAAAUCCCCGGGCUCAACCUGGGAACUGCAUUUGUGACUGGCAAGCUAGAGUGUGGCAGAGGGGGGUGGAAUUCCGCGUGUAGCAGUGAAAUGCGUAGAUAUGCGGAGGAACACCGAUGGCGAAGGCAGCCCCCUGGGCCAACACUGACGCUCAUGCACGAAAGCGUGGGGAGCAAACAGGAUUAGAUACCCAGUAGUCCCUGUCUCUUAUACA
rnacentral:rRNA from 1 species